rnacentral:rRNA from 1 species
UGAGGAAUAUUGGUCAAUGGACGAGAGUCUGAACCAGCCAAGUAGCGUGAAGGAUGACUGCCCUAUGGGUUGUAAACUUCUUUUAUAUGGGAAUAAAGUGAGCCACGUGUGGCUUUUUGUAUGUACCAUACGAAUAAGGAUCGGCUAACUCCGUGCCAGCAGCCGCGGUAAUACGGAGGAUCCGAGCGUUAUCCGGAUUUAUUGGGUUUAAAGGGAGCGUAGGCGGAUUAUUAAGUCAGUUGUGAAAGUUUGCGGCUCAACCGUAAAAUUGCAGUUGAUACAGGUAGUCUUGAGUGCAGCAGAGGUAGGCGGAAUUCGUGGUGUAGCGGUGAAAUGCUUAGAUAUCACGAAGAACUCCGAUUGCGAAGGCAGCUUACUGGACUGUAACUGACGCUGAUGCUCGAAAGUGUGGGUAUCAAACAGG